rnacentral:rRNA from 1 species
AAGCGCUUAUGACCAGACUUGUGCCGUGCGGAUCAUCCAGUGUUCUCACUGGUGCACUCCGCUCGGUUCAGGCCAGCAUCGGUUCUGGAGGGGGCAUAAAGGCCGCAGGAACGUAGCUCUUCGGAGUGUUAUAGCCUGUGGUGUAAUACCCCCGCUGGGACCGAGGACCGCGCUCUGCAAGGAUGCUGGCGUAAUGGUCAUCAGCGA